AAAAGUUUUAUUUUAAAUCUGUGUUUUAUAUUUUAAAAAAUUGAAUUUGAUUUAUAAAGUUUUACAUGUUGUUUUGAAUUUAAAUUUACAGUUUGGUUGUAAUUUGAAAUUCAACUAUUGUUGUAGGUAUUUAAGAAAGUCACAAUAUUCUUAGUUGGAUAAAAUCGGUUUUGUGGACCAAACUAUUUUACAAAGACUAAAAUACCCUUUAAAUAGGUACCUGGUGAAUGGUACCUAUGCUUCAAUAGCAGGUCACCUCUAGAAUCAUAUUAAAUCUAAACCAUUUAUUAAGAAAAAUAAGUGGUCAAGAUUUAUAUGGUGUUUUAAAGUAUUCCUCUAUUUUUUUAUUUUUAUUUUUUUUAUUUUUU
rnacentral:lncRNA from 1 species